rnacentral:rRNA from 1 species
UACGAACUGUGCAAACGUUAUUCGGAUUCACUGGGCUUAAAGGGUGCGUAGGCGGCGCGACAAGUUGGGUGUGAAAUCCCUCGGCUCAACCGAGGAACUGCGCCCAAAACUGUCGUGCUCGAGGGAGACAGAGGUGAGCGGAACUUAGGGUGGAGCGGUGAAAUGCGUUGAUAUCCUAAGGAACACCGGUGGCGAAAGCGGCUCACUGGGUCUCUGCUGACGCUGAGGCACGAAAGCUAGGGUAGCGAACGGG